rnacentral:rRNA from 1 species
UAUUAUUUUUAAUAAUUUUUAUAAUUAAUAAUUUAAAAAUAAAAAUUAAAUAAAUUGACAGUAUUUAUUAAAAUUAGAGGAUUUUGUUGAUUAAUUGAUAUUACACAAUAAAAUUUAUUUAUAUUAAUUAAAUUGUAUAUUGUUGUCAUAAAAUAAUUUUAAAAAAAUAUUAUUUAAAAAUAUUAUUUUAUAAAAUGUCAAAUCAUAAUUCAUUUUAUAUAUAAAGUUUAAAUGAAAUACAUUAAUAAUAACUUAUGAAAUUUUUUUUGUAAAAAAUUAUUGAAAUUGGAUUUAAAAUUAAAUUUUAAUAAAUAUUAAAUUUGAAUUUUAUUAUAAAUAUGUACAUAUUGCCCGUCGUUUUUAAUUUAAUUUAAAAUAA